GAUAAACGCUGGCGGCGCACAUAAGACAUGCAAGUCGAACGGACAGAAGUUCAUUCUUUACGAUUGAAUGGAUGUUAGUGGCGGACUGGUGAGUAACACGUAAGCAACCUGCCUCUAAGAUUGGGAUAACUCGUCGGAAGAUGAGCUAAUACCGGAUAAGACCACAGUCCCUGCGGGGACAGGGGUCAAAGGUAGCCUAUGCUUGCAAGCUAUCACUUAGAGAUGGGCCUGCGUACCAUUAGCUAGUUGGUAAGGUAACGGCUUACCAAGGCAAAGAUGGUUAGCUGGUCUGAGAGGAUGAUCAGCCACACUGGAACUGAGACACGGUCCAGACUCCUACGGGAGGCAGCAGUGGGGAAUAUUGCGCAAUGGGCGAAAGCCUGACGCAGCAACGCCGCGUGAGUGAUGAAGGCCUUGGUCGUAAGCUCUGUCGGUAGGGAACGAA
rnacentral:rRNA from 1 species